rnacentral:lncRNA from 1 species
AAAGAAGGAUCUUGGAGUCAUUUCUUUCAUGUUAUUAGUGGUAAAUAGAAAGAGCUCAGGACUAUUUGGAUUCAAUUUUUUUAUUACAAAACUUUAUUUCGUCUUUAUUAGUUUCCUUUGUUGUCAAAUGAAUUUUGAACUUGGUUCUUGCAGAGCAACAAUGUUCUUGCCUAAUUUGUGUUGCCUCUUAUUAAUUUCUCUGGACUUGAUCACCUAAUAGUAAGGAUUGAUUUUUUUUUGUCAGGUGUUGCAUAGCAUUGAGCUUGGUAUGACUUUCUCUAUUGGCUUUUCAUUCUUGAAUUUAUGAAUUCAUCUUCUCUAGUUUCUAUAACUUCUAUUAAGAGCGUCAGUAGUUUUCUUUAAUUCUUGGGUUUUACAGCUAACACAAUCAAUGAAUCAUUUUGAAGGUAUUACAGUAGUUUUGGACUUGAUCACCCAACAUAUGGGUUGAAUUGUGAACUGGUUUCUCUACUGUAAUAUUUGGAAGUGUUUCUUGUAAUCUUCCUGUGUUGUGUCGAGCCUACGAGCGACUCCCUUGGUUUUGAAUUUGUGGCCUCCCUUUGUUUUCAAAUUUUGAAUUUACCUUAACAUUUCUGUACUAUGUCAUGUCAUCUCUUUAAAAGAGAUUAGUUCUCUCGAAUCCCCAUGGUUCUUGAUGAGCUUUUACGGGAAGGCAAUAAAUAUAUGUGGGCUGGUUUUAGAAACAGUAGAACUUUAGGUUUUAUUAUCUUCGCUGUUAUUCUUUUAGCUAAACUUGUGGAGUGGGAGUUCUUGUAGACCAGCACUAUAUGAGUAUGAGAGGCUUUGACAUUUGUGUUGCAGUGACUUACUAUGUGUUGCAAUGUCUGUUGGAUUGUGGAGGCAAUUGCGGUAGAUUAUUGGACUUUCUGUGAAGCUUUAGGUUUUAUUAUGUUUCUAUUCAUUAUGUGUUGGAAUGGCUGUAUUCUCUCUUGUUGGUUGAAUAGUAGGAAGCUACAUGUGUCAGUCACUGUGUGUCUAAGCUAGGGCGAUAUUUGACUAUGCUUUAUCCUUGAUCUCAUGAUCUCAACUAUCUUCCAAAAUGAGAAUGUUCUCCAUAAUGACUGCAAUGUUUAGUUAUAUUUCCAAUAUGAGAAUGAAAAACUAUAGUUUUAAAAAGUAUAGUUUUCUCCCUCAAGGCUAUGAGUGACCUAUUCCAAAAGGAAAGCUCCAACAUGAGAGCUCUAUUUACUUCUUUCGGGUUGGGGUCUCACUAUUUGUGAUUGGGUAUGGAAGCAGACUGUAUCUUAUUGCUAAUUAUAUUUCUCAAUCUUAGUCCCUUGCUGAUUUUGGUCUUUAUUAUUUAAUGUUUUUGGACUUGAUCACCUAACAUAUGGGCUGAACUGUUGUUUAUCUACAAUAGUAUUUCAAAGUGUUUUUGUAAUCUUCUUCGUGCUCUUGGUUUUGAAUUUGUGGCUUCCCUUGAUAAUUUAGAUUUGUGAAUUUAUCUUACUGUUUCUGUACUUUGUCAUGUCAUCUUUUUAAGAAGAUUAGUUUUCUCAAAUCGCCAAGAGUCUUCUUGAGCUUUUACAUGAAGGACGUAUGCGUCAGGUUUUGGUAACACUGGAUGGAGAUACAGUUAAACUUUAGGUUUUAUUAUUUUGCAUUCAUUAUUUUCUUUGUUGUUAUUCUUUUUGCUACUCUUGUGGAGUGGGAGUUCUUGUAGUUGGGCCUUUGACUUUGACUAUUUGAUUAUCUUCUUCUACUUGUGUUGCAGUGAACACUUACCAUGGAUGUUUGUUGCAGUGAAGCUUUAGGUUUUAUUACUUUUCCACUCACUAUUUUUCUUAUAUGCUCGAUUUGGAAUGUCUACAGUCUCUCUUAUUGGUUGGAUAGUUGGAAGGUAUCUUAUUGUGUGUAUUUAAGCAAGAGCGAUACGUCUAGGUCCUCCAUCUUCUACCCAGAUUGGUUAUAGUUUUCUUGAAUUCAUUGGCCUUACAGGAAAGCUAAGCAAAGUAGUGUGGUGUAGGACUUAAAAAUGGUGGGUGAAAAUUCUGUGAUCUGUGAAGCUAAAUGUUUUUUUCACCUGUACAUUGUUUGUUCAUCUGAAUUAAUUUUUAACUGUCUCAACUUGUUGGUUUGAUUAUUUAUUUUUAUUUUAUUUUUAUCAGCACUUGUUGGUUUGAUUAUAAUCUUGGUUGUAACUUGUUGAUUUGAUUAUAAUCUUGGGUGUAUUUUGAUGGUGUAUGGUUCGUAAGAGGCAUUGUGGGAUGAGCAUGAGGCAAGUGGGAUUGGGCUUUACUCUUUGAUUUGAUGGUUUGCUUCUUGGUUUGGAAAGUUCUACUGUUUAAUUUUGAUGACUUCUCUGCAUAAUCCUCGAACAUAGGCCUUUGCCUCUUUUAUUAGUUUUCCAAAACCUUUCGAUUCAUUAUUCUUGAUCACCAAACAUAUGGGUUGAGUUGUGAACUUGUUUGGAAUUUUUGCUCUUUACCGCUAUAAGACAAGCAAUGGAUGUGUGUGGGGACAAUGUAGAAACAUGGGCAGGGGAUCAUUUGUGACUAGCUAUUUGCAUGCAGUCUUUUAUUUGGUGACAGAGAUCUAUCAAAAUAAAAAGAUUGGUUGAGCAUUAAAAUCCAUAAGUGUUUAGAAUUUCCUCUAUUUUAUUUUUUCAGAUUUGAUCACCAAACAUAAGGAUUUUGUUUUCAUUUGUUUCUCUACAGUGGUGUUUGCAUUAUUUUUCAUGCUAGGUCUAAUCGAUCAUAUUAUGAGUGAAUAUCACUCGUAUAUUUAGUCUCUUUGAGCAACAAAAGCAACAACUAUGAGGUAGAAUGUAGACACCCUAGCACGUGAUCCAGUGAAGCUUUAUGUUUGAAUUUUUGUGUGCAUUUAUUCGUGACUGGCUAAACUUGUUUGGAUUUUCUGUUUUUGAUUGGAUUCUCGUGGCUAGGUUUUGGUAACCUGAAUUCUUUAGUGUAGUUAUCAUUUCCCCUGAAUUCUUGAUUGUUGUUUUGACAGGGUAGGGUUUGGGAGAAGUUAUAAGUCUUCUGGGUUUUUUGGAUUAGGAAUUGUCCAAGUAACAACUGUGUAUCUACAAGUUUGAUAUAUGUGAUGAUUAGAAAUUGUCCAAGUACCAACAGUAAGUUUGAAAUCAUGUGAUGUGCUUGUCAGAUAUUUUCUAUUAAUAUAUCUGUAUUUUGUAUUGUUAGUUUUAUUCUUGCAUUGAAUUACCUAGAUGUUUUGUUAAAUAUGAUCAUUUAACUAUAAUAGAAUUGCAGUGCUUUUCAUAAAAUUUUGACAUGAAUGGACCAAUUCCUGGCUCGAAGUACUAAUGUUAUCCAUGUGCGAUAUCAUGUUUGGCCAGGUCUAUGAUGAUUAAAGAGGAUCUGGAGAUCUUGAUUUUGGGUCUUUCCUAUUGAAGUUCUGAAAAUUAUAUUUUGUUUAGGUGUAGCAGUAUUGAAAAGAUGGAUCUCAAAGUUAUUCCUUUCAUUUUAGUAGUCGUAAUUAUUUGCCUUCAUUCUUUGAUUACAGAACUUUUUAUUUUGUCUUGUUUUGUUUCCUGCAUCGACAAAUGAAUUUUGAACUUGUUCUUGCAUAAUUUAUCAUUGGAAUUCAUGGUUUUGUCUUUGCAGGGAGGAAAUGGAGGGUUAGUGUAGGUUUGGGAAAGAGUGGAUGGGGACCCUGUGGAAAUUUAGGUUUUAUUGUUUACGUUGAUUAUGUUAUUUACCGUUAUUAUUCACAGAUAAACUUGUGGAUUGGGAAUACUUACCUCAGGCACUAUAAGUCUGUGUCAGACAUUUCUUUCAGCAACGGAAUCAUUUAAUAGCAAAGAGUUUCGUUUCCUUUUAUUUUCUUUGUUGUCAAAACAACCUUUGUUUCUUUCUUACUUCUCAACUAAGGUAUUUAGUUUCACUGUGUUCUCAGGAUGUGUUAUUUGAAUCCCUUGCUGAUCUUGUUGAAUCUCAGAAGCUUGUUAUAAUUUGGUCUUAUCAUGUAAUUUUUCUGGACUUGAUCACCAAACAUAAAGGUUGUAUUGUCAACCUGUUUCUCUCCAUCAGUAGUUGGAAUUGUUUCUUGUAAUCUGCCUGCACUGCAUUGUUUGUAUUCUGUUAAGGAGUUUAGCUUUCUUGAUUUAAUUCUCCAGGUUUCCUCUCGUCUUUUACAGGGAGAUAAUGGAUGUGUGUCAUAUGUUUGGGAAGAUCCUGUGAAACUUUAGAUUUUUUUUAUCUUUUGCAUUCAUUAUUUUCUUUCUAGUUAUUAUUCUUUGGAUAAUCUUGCAAAGUGUGAUUUUAUGCCUAAUUGUAAUAGGCAUAAGAGUUUAAGCAGGAUUCCGGUUGAGGAUUAAAAAAUAUAAAUUUGAAUAUAGUUCUUGUUUGAUUAUUGAAAUCUAUCAAACCUAGCUGUUUGAUAUGUGAUUAUGCUGAUGAAUUUUCAGCACAUUAAGGUUAAUAAUAAUGCAAUGCUCGAUGAAGAAGUCUCCCUUUUAUUUGAAACUUUGUACACUGAGCUCUUAUAUGUGAGGUAGGAUGUGGAAACACUAGCCAGGGAUCUGGAAGCUUUAG